UUUACUCAUAAAAAAGAUUUAACUGCAUGUUUAGUACUAUUUUGUCCAAUGAAAAUAAACAAUUGAGUUGGGAAAACGUAAUAUUUUGAUUUCUUAAUUCAAGCGUUUAACUUCCUGUCAUUGCGCAUGCGCAGUCUGUUUCCGUAGCAUUUUGCACAGGGUUUCCCCUCAUCAACUACAUUUUAGAAGGGGCUGGAUGUGCUCUGGGUCAGGAGAAACAACUAGAAGUGUUCAGCAAAGAAGAAGAAUCUUUAUGAAAGACGAUACAGCACAUGGGCGAUACUAAUCCAGAGGAAUCUUUAUGAUCUACCUUGAGCACAUUUCACUGUAAAUACACCUGUGCCAGUCAAAAUCUGCUGCUGAGACACUACAGGCUCAAGCACUGGCACCCAGGCCAACGUGUAUCACUGUUGUGCCACCCUGAGUGUGUCUGCACUUUCAAUACACCAGCAGAACAAAAAAGUCAGCAGAACAAAUAAAUUUAUACAGAUUUGGAACAACUAGAGGGUGAGUAAAUUAUGACAGAAUUUUCAUUUUUGGGUGAACUAACCCUUAAAGGAAUCAUGCAGAAGUGAAUCAUAAUUAAAAUGAUAUUUCCCUUCUACAGACAACAGACAUCCUAUCACACAAAUACACUACGGCUCUACAGGGACUCCCCUUGUACCUCAGGGAACGUGACGUAAUAUCAAAGACUUGUCUGGACACGGAUUUAGAGGAGACUUACACAAGAGAAGUGAAACUGGCAAUUCUCACAGUCAUGGAGGAUGAUCUCUCACAGGCAACAAAAGGAUGUCUAAACUUCGGCAUCAUCCUGGAGGAAACUGUGGUCAUGGAGGACCUACCUGACUUUCCCACUGCUUUCAUGGUACUCUUUGGACUUCUCUAUGCGCUGAAUAUUGAAUAUCCAAAAGGACUAAAAUACACAUUUGAGGCAGUGCAGAACAUCUUUGUGGGAUUGGGAGAAAAGUGCACCAACAGAGUUCAGUCCCUGAAGAAUAAGCUUUUUACUGUAUAGGGAGUUUAAGAUGCAUUGAGUUUUUUCAGAUGCUCUUAUUGUUGGUGGGUACCUUUGGUAUAGUAAUGGUGAAUUUUGAUUUUUAAGUUUUAAGACUUAGAGUUAAAUUAUCUUAAAAAUGAAAUGUUUAUUAAUUUAACUGAUAUUCGUUGAUGUAGGCCUACUGUUCAUUAUUCUAAAUGUUUCAUUUUAGGUGAGUCAGUGCUUUGUAGAUGGAUGGACUAUUUUUAGAUCCUUAAAAUUUUGACAGUUUGUCUUCCUCAUACAGUAUAUGCUGCUGUUUAGUCACAUGUUUCAUAUGUGGCAGUGUUUUGUACAACUCUUUCAACUGCAGUGUUUAAUUUUAGUUGUAGAGUUGCAGUAUUUUAAUUUGAGAAAUUGUAAUUAUCAUGAUAGCUAAUUGAAAAUACAUUUAU